rnacentral:rRNA from 1 species
CAAGUCGGACGGGACUUUUCGCUGUAGCAAUACAGUGGAAAGUUUAGUGGCGAACGGGUGCGUAACACGUGGGCAAUUUGCCUUAAAGUGUGGGAUAGCUCGGCGAAAGCCGAAUUAAUACCGCAUGUGGCUACUGGAGACAUCUUCGGGACGCUAAAGGUGGCGCAAGCUACCGCUUUUUGAGGAGCCCGCGGCCUAUCAGCUUGUUGGUGAGGUAACGGCUCACCAAGGCGUUGACGGGUAGCUGGUCUGAGAGGACGACCAGCCACACUGGGACUGAGACACGGCCCAGACACCUACGGGUGGCAGCAGUCGAGAAUUUUUGACAAUGGGGGAAACCCUGAUCGAGCGACGCCGCGUGGAGGAUGAAGGUCUUCGGGUUGUAAACUCCUGUCAUUUGGGAACAAGGCGCACGUAUUAACUGUACGUGCGUUGAUAGUACCAGAAGAGGAAGAGACGGCUAACUCUGUGCCAGCAGCCGCGGUAAUACAGAGGUCUCAAGCGUUGUUCGGAUUCAUUGGGCGUAAAGGGUGUGUAGGUGGCGCGCUAAGUCGGGUGUGAAAUUUCGGAGCUUAACUCCGAAACUGCAUUCGAUACUGGCGUGCUUGAGGACUGGAGAGGAGACUGGAAUUUACGGUGUAGCAGUGAGAUGCGUAGAUAUCGUAAGGAAGACCAGUGGCGAAGGCGGGUCUCUGGACAGUUCCUGACACUGAGACACGAAGGCCAGGGGAGCAAACGGGAUUAGAUACCCCGGUAGUCCUGGCAGUAAACGGUGCACGUUUGGUGUGGGAAGGAUUCGACCCCUUCUGCGCCGGAGCUAA